rnacentral:rRNA from 1 species
GAUGAACGUUGGCGGCGUGCCUGAGAUAUGCAAGUCGAGCGAUCCCGGCGCAAGUCGGGAAGCGGCGGACGGCUGAGUAACACGCAGGAAUCUACCCCUUUCUGGACCAUAGUUCGUCGAAAGACGGAGUAAUUGUCCAUGGUUCCCGACCUAGUCGGGAUAAAGAGAGUAACUUCUCGGAAAGGGAUGAGCCUACGGCUUAUCAUGGUAGUUGGUAGGGUAAUGGCCUACCAAGCCUACAACGAGUAGCUGGCCUGAGAGGGUGGUCAGCCAGAGGGGGACUGAGACACGGCCCCCACUCCUACGGGAGGCAGCAAUCAGGAGUAGUCGGCAAUGGGCGAAAGCCUGACCGCGCGACGCCGCGUGUAGGAAGAAGCUCCUACAGAGUGUAAACUACUGUAGUAGAGGAGGAAGUCCCGACUUAGUCGGGGUUGACAGUACCCUACUAGAAAGGGGCCGCUAACUGCGUGCCAGAAGCGUCGGUAAUACGUGGGCCCCAAACGUUAUCCGGUUUUACUGGGUGUAAAAGGUCGUGUAGGUGUUCUGGUAAGUUUUUGUUUAAAGACUAAAGGCUUAACCUUAGGAAAGACAAAAAUACUACCAGAAUUGAGUUAUCUUUAGGGAGAUUG